GACGAACGCUGGCGGCGUGCUUAACACAUGCAAGUCGAGCGGAGCGGCGAACGGGUGAGUAACGCGUGAGUAACUGCCCCCCUCUCUGGGAUAACAGGUGGAAACGGCUGCUAAUACCGGAUAGUGGGGGAUGACUCGCGUCCUAUCAGCUUGUUGGUGGGGUAGUGGCCUACCAAGGCGACGACGGGAAGCCGGCCUGAGAGGGCGACCGGGCACAGUGGGCUGGGGUGCAGCCCAAAGUCCUACGGGAGGAAGCAGGGGGGAAUAUUGGACAAUGGGGGGAACGCUGAUGCAGCAACGCCGCGUGCGAGAGGACGGCCUUCGGGUUGUAAACCGCUUUCAGCCAUGACGCGGUAGUGGCAGAAGAAGCACCGGCUAACUACGUGCCAGCAGCCGCGGUAAUAC
rnacentral:rRNA from 1 species